UACGAAGGGGGCUAGCGUUGUUCGGAAUCACUGGGCGUAAAGCGCACGUAGGCGGUUGGGUAAGUCCGGGGUGAAAUCCCGGAGCUCAACUUCGGAACUGCCUUUGAUACAGCACGUCUUGAGUCCGAUAGAGGUGGGUGGAAUUCCUAGUGUAGAGGUGAAAUUCGUAGAUAUUAGGAAGAACACCGGUGGCGAAGGCGGCCCACUGGAUCGGUACUGACGCUGAGGUGCGAAAGCGUGGGGAGCAAACAGG
rnacentral:rRNA from 1 species